UAACAGAAACUCUAUACUGCGCGGUAUC
rnacentral:sRNA from 1 species